UACGUAGGGCGCGAGCGUUGUCCGGAAUUAUUGGGCGUAAAGAGCUCGUAGGCGGCCUGUUACGUCUGCUGUGAAAUCCCGGGGCUUAACCCCGGGCGUGCAGUGGAUACGGGCAGGCUGGAGGCAGGCAGGGGAGAACGGAAUUCCCGGUGUAGCGGUGAAAUGCGCAGAUAUCGGGAGGAACACCGGUGGCGAAGGCGGUUCUCUGGGCCUGUACUGACGCUGAGGAGCGAAAGCGUGGGGAGCGAACAGG
rnacentral:rRNA from 1 species